rnacentral:misc_RNA from 1 species
UCCUUGAGGAACACAGUACUCCUAGCAAAUUGGUUGGCGAUAUAAAAUAUACGAUCUUUAUAAAACAAAGCAGUAACCUAGAUGGCAACAAAUACUCAUAGUUAAAUGCAUCCAAUUGUAUAGAACUUUUUUUCCAUUGUUAAGCUAAGAAGUUCAUAAUGGAUUUUUGGGGUAAAAUAAGAGAUGGCUUCUUCUGCAAAUACAUGAGUGGAUCAAGUUCAUGAACUCUGUGGUAUAUCUUCUUUUUG